rnacentral:rRNA from 1 species
UUAAGAUAUAUGUGGUACAGGAUUAGAUACCCCAUUAAUAUAUUUUGUAAGGUUGUUCUAGUUUUGUAACUAAAAUGGUUUGGCAGUGAGUGAUUCUUGUUAGGGGAAGAUGCAUAGUAAAGGAUGGUCCACCUAUUAAUUUACUCUUUUUAUGUUGGUGUAUGUCUGGUUUGAUAUUAUUGUUUAGUAAUGUAAGUUUGUGUAGUUUUAGUUAAGCUAAGUCUAUGUGCUGCUCAUAAGAGUUUUUGUGUGUUACAUUGAUAGGAAUAUUGUUGUAAUAUGGUAUUGUUUAGGACUUAAUAGUAAUGUUUGAAUUAGUUUGUUGAUGUGAAUUGAGUUUAGCUCAGGUACACACCGCCCGUCACCCUCGGUU